GGAAAUGAUGAUAGUAUUUGUCGCCCCAGUCUUAUUCGCAUUUACUGAUGCGAGAUGGUGACUGACAUUAUAUCUGAUUC